rnacentral:lncRNA from 1 species
CCAGGGCAAUGCCAAAGCCUCCCGUCCUUGGAGCAUUCCUGAGCAGUGCUGAGUUUGCUUGCUAAGGAAUCCUAGCUGCCUGUAGUUUUCAUAAGAGCCUCUAGGUGUCCCCAUCAUCCAUGAGAUCUUGCUCCUAGCGUUACAACCAGGAGCCUCCAAGUGCUGAGAACUGAAAUAUUAGCAAUUUCUUGAAAAUAGAGGCUUAUCUAAAAACUGGUAUUUGUGUUCACUGUUUCUUUGUGGCCUGACUCUGGUGAAAAAAAUGUUUAUUAGGAAAAAUAUGUCUUGAGAUCAAAUCAUUUGUCCAAGAACUUCCAAGCCACCUGCUUUAUGUACUAUGAAAUGUUAAAUCCAAAUCAAAACAUCUCAAAUAUUAGCAGUUAGCCCUACAUAAAAGUUACAAGUAUAUAAUUAUUUCCACAGUCUUAAAACUUGGAUUUUCCUAAAGAAACUAGUGUAAAGACUAGUUGUUUUAUCACCAUAAGUUAAUUCACCGGUACAGUCCACUAGUGUAAAUAAAGUCUUCCAAAGCCUCCUGUAUAAACCAUCCAGAGUCUCCUCCAGGGUGGGGCAUAUACACUAAUAAAGGUUAACCCUUACAGCACCCCUAUGAAGUGACUUUUAUCUCCAUUUUAUAGGUGGAGAAACGGAGGCAAAUGACAGUUACUUAACACCCAAGGCGACACAUAAAAAGUAGUAGGGGCCAUUCGGUUACUCACUAUACUAGACUGCCAUUCAUGCUCAAACAACAUUUACUGAAUGAGUUAAUAGUUUCAAUUUCCAAAUAAGCGUAAUUGUGUGUUCCUUGUUAACUGUCCUUUGAAGGGUUUCAUGAGUGUCAUUGCAUAUAACACAGCACUGGUGUGGUGGCCUCUGCUCUAUGGAAGGUUUGGGUUCAAUUCGGCCAUUAUUCGGAAUGGCUAAGACACGAUAUAAGGUUACUUUUCAAUUUAACUGUCGGUAUUCUCACACAGGUGCUUAUCUGCUCUCUAUAGCUGUUUGAAUGCAAGGCAGGAGCACAUUUGGUGAGCUCUUGAGGAUGGAGCAGACCUGGCCGGCACUGAGUGUAAUCUAAGAGACUGGAGGAGUUCCCAUCGUGGCUCAGUGGUUAACGAACCAGACUAGGAAUCAUGAGGUUGCGGGUUCCUGGCCUCACUCAGUGGGUGAAGGAUCUGGCGUUGCGUGAGCUGUGGUGUAGGUCGCAGAUGCGGCUCAGAUCCUGUGUUGCUGUGGCUCUGGCAUAGGCCAGUGGCUACAGCUCCGAUUAGACCCCUAGCCUGGGAAUCCCCAUGUACCACGGGGGGGGCCCUAAAAAAAAAAAAAAAAAAAAAAAAAUACUGGAAUGA